rfam:Danio rerio chromosome 4, GRCz11 reference primary assembly.
GCCCGGCUAGCUCAGUCGCUUGAGCAUGAGACUCUUAAUGUCAGGGUUGUGGGUUCGAGCCCCACGUUGGGCG